UUUUUGCCAAUAGUUCAAAGGAUGUAUUCAGAGCGGAGAAUGGCCUCGGCCAUUUGACGAACAUCAUUUGGCGUAGGGGCAUUAUGGCGACGGUCUAAGUCAGCGCGGGUAAACGGCGGGAGUAACUAUGACUCUCUUAAGGUAGCCAAAUGCCUCGUCAUCUAAUUAGUGACGCGCAUGAAUGGAU
rnacentral:ncRNA from 1 species